rnacentral:rRNA from 1 species
UACGAAGGUCCCAAGCGUUAUCCGGAUUUAUUGGGUUUAAAGGGUGCGUAGGCGGGUUAUUAAGUCAGUGGUGAAAGCUCCAUGCCUAACAUGGAAAUUGCCAUUGAUACUGAUGAUCUUGAGUACAUUUGAAGUGGGCGGAAUGUGUCAUGUAGUGGUGAAAUACUUAGAUAUGACACAGAACACCGAUUGCGUAGGCAGCUCACUAAACUGUAACUGACACUGAGGCUCGAAAGUGCGGGGAUCAAACAGG